AUUAGAUCAAAACCAACCGGGUUUCGGCCCGCUGGCUUGGUGACUCUGGAUAACUUUGUGCUGAUCGCAUGGCCAUGAGCCGGCGACGUAUCUUUCAAAUGUCUGCCCUAUCAACUUACGAUGGUAGGUGAUAUGCCUACCAUGGUUAUAACGGGUAACGGGGAAUCAGGGUUCGAUUCCGGAGAGGGAGCCUGAGAAACGGCUACCACAUCCAAGGAAGGCAGCAGGCGCGCAAAUUACCCACUCCCGGCACGGGGAGGUAGUGACGAGAAAUAACGAUACGGGACUCAUUUGAGGCCCCGUAAUUGGAAUGAGUACACUUUAAAUCCUUUAACGAGGAUCUAUUGGAGGGCAAGUCUGGUGCCAGCAGCCGCGGUAAUUCCAGCUCCAAUAGCGUAUAUUAAAGUUGUUGCAGUUAAAACGCUCGUAGUUGGAUCUGAGGAUAUGAGUUGGUGGUUCGACACAUGUCGGUACUGCUAACUCUGCCUACCUAGCCGGUGCUUGCCCCUGGUGCUCUUAACUGAGUGUCUUGGGUGCCCGGCACGUUUACUUUUGAAAAAAUUAGAGUGCUCAAAG
rnacentral:rRNA from 1 species